rfam:Asian citrus Psyllid, Diaphorina citri - Florida Strain, whole genome shotgun sequence.
GCCUAGUUAGCUUAGUUGGUAGUGCGUCUGCCUUGUAAGCGCUAGGCCGCGGGUUCGAUCCCCGCCCGAGGCG